UGUAGCAAUACAAGGCAGACGGCUCAGUAACGCGUAGUCAACCUAACCUAUGGACGGGAAUAACCUCGGGAAACUGAGAAUAAUGCCCGAUAGAACACUAUACCUGGAAUGGUUUGUGUUCCAAAUGAUUUAUCGCCGUAGGAUGGGACUGCGGCCUAUCAGUUUGUUGGUGAGGUAAUGGCCCACCAAGACUAUUACAGGUACGGGCUCUGAGAGGAGUAGCCCGGAGAUGGGUACUGAGACACGGACCCAGGCCCUAUGGGGCGCAGCAGGCGAGAAAACUUUGCAAUGUGCGAAGGCACGACAAGGUUAAUCCGAGUGGUUUCUGCUAAAGGAACCUUUUGUCGGUCCUAGAAACACCGAUGAAUAAGGGGUGGGCAAGUUCUGGUGUCAGCCGCCGCGGUAAAACCAGCACCUCAAGUGGUCAGGAUGAUUAUUGGGCCUAAAGCAUCCGUAGCCGGCUCUGUAAGUUUUCGGUUAAAUCUGUACGCUCAACGUACAGGCUGCCGGGAAUACUGCAGAGCUAGGGAGUGGGAGAGGUAGACGGUACUCGGUAGGAAGGGGUAAAAUCCUUUGAUCUAUUGAUGACCACCUGUGGCGAAGGCGGUCUACCAGAACACGUCCGACGGUGAGGGAUGAAAGCUGGGGGAGCAAACCGGAUUAGAUACCCGGGUAGUCCCAGCUGUAAACUAUGCAAACUCAGUGAUGCAUUGACUUGUGGUCAAUGCAGUGCUGCAGGGAAGCCGUUAAGUUUGCCGCCUGGGAAGUACGUACGCAAGUAUGAAACUUAAAGGAAUUGGCGGGGGAGCACCACAAGGGGUGAAGCCUGCGGUUCAAUUGGA
rnacentral:rRNA from 1 species